UUCUUGAGGCCUUGUUCUGGCAACGGCUGAGUAUGUGGAAAAAAGGGUUUUCCCCUGGAGUUUCACCACAGAAAUUUGGGUUGAUUUCUGACACAAGGAAAAGUUAUAACUGGUUUCACCUUGGAGUCUAGCUGGAUGAAGUUGGAAUUUCCUUUUCUUGGUCACAAAAGUCCCAAUUUCUUUAGAGUGCUGUCAAGAUGUGGAAAUGAAAAGAAAUUUUAAUGUCGACUUGAAGAUCCAGAACCAGAUCUGUGUUAUAAAUACUGAUGGGAGUUCGAAGCCAGCAUGGUCUACAGAUCAAUUUAUAGAAGAGAGCAUUUAAUCUGAGGUUCAUGCUUCCAAAAGGUUAGAGAACCCUUCUUAGUCUCAGCCCCGGUUCCUGUCCAGCCCCCAAGAGCAAAUGUGCAGCCGAUAGCAACAUUGGAAGCUCUGUCUUGCUAAGAACAUUAUAGAAUGGAAUGUUAGCCACUGUGGGAUGUGUUUGGAAUCAAUGAUGCUCCACCGAGGAACACUGCUCUGCUGCCCAGGUGUGAUUCCCUUUUUGUCCCACCUUGCCAGCUCACCCAGAAGGCUUCACCCAGAGCACAGACUGGUCAGUGUAGGGCAGAGGUAUCUAUAGUGGUGGGGUUGGGGGGCAGGGAGGACACCUGAUUUUUCAAACUGUAGCAUAAAUAGAUGUAAGGCUCAUUUUAACAUGCCCAGUUAAUCUGGAAUGAGUGUUUGCAGACAAAACACAGGACCCCUACUUGCUCUUGCACUUCAGAUAAACAAUACUUCAUUCAAACAAGAUAAAUAGCCUAGACCACAGCUGCUAGAAGACUCACAGGCUGCUGGUGUGGUCAGGAUUGCUGCCACAGCUAAAAGACCUCCUCUGGAGCAGGAGCCUCCUGUGUUCCCUAGGAGCUCUGGGUUAGUCCAGCUUAGUCAGAGGAAGAGAGAGAAGUCCUUCCAGGCUAUUAUCUGUCUGAAUGUGCCAGUGGCCAGCAAAUCUGAACCAGACUGAGGUGUGUUACUGCUUUGGUUCUGAGUUCUCCUCUCAAAUUACCAUCCAAGGCACGGGAGCCAUCUUCCCCAGCAGCAGCAUCCAUGCCCAGCCCUCAGUCAGUGGAACUCGGUGUGCUUCUGAAUACCCCCUGGCAGGCCUUCCCUGUAUUUGCAGAGUCUGUGACAAGAGCAAACAAAACCUGCUGCAAAUUGGAAAAUGCUCUUCCACAAAAACAAACUAGAAAGAAAUGUGGAAAUUCUGACUUGUACAAGACUGGAAGUUGGCAGACUAUUAAAGAUGAUGAAAUUUAAUUAUCACUGCACAUGUCUGGGUGUUCUGUUGAGAAGUCAGAGAUGUCUGGAUGGGCAAAAACAUAAAUUAUACAAUGUUGUGUGCAUAGCCCAUAAAAUCUGUUUUUCUUGUAUUCCUUUCAACAAAAUUGUGUUGGUACGCUAAACAUAUUUACAUAAUUUGUGUUCUAUUGGCAGUAACUACCUAGAAAGUAUAAGUUGGCCAAUCUUUUCUGUAUGUUACUAGCUAUAGAAAUCAAUGUUUUUGAGACCCAUUUGUGA
ensembl:lncRNA